rnacentral:rRNA from 1 species
AUUGAACGCUGGCGGCAUGCCUUACACAUGCAAGUCGAACGGUAACAGGUCUUCGGACGCUGACGAGUGGCGAACGGGUGAGUAAUACAUCGGAACGUGCCCAGUCGUGGGGGAUAACUACUCGAAAGAGUAGCUAAUACCGCAUACGAUCUGAGGAUGAAAGCGGGGGACCUUCGGGCCUCGCGCGAUUGGAGCGGCCGAUGGCAGAUUAGGUAGUUGGUGGGAUAAAAGCUUACCAAGCCGACGAUCUGUAGCUGGUCUGAGAGGACGACCAGCCACACUGGGACUGAGACACGGCCCAGACUCCUACGGGAGGCAGCAGUGGGGAAUUUUGGACAAUGGGCGAAAGCCUGAUCCAGCAAUGCCGCGUGCAGGAUGAAGGCCUUCGGGUUGUAAACUGCUUUUGUACGGAACGAAAAAGUCUCCUCUAAUACAGGAGGCCCAUGACGGUACCGUAAGAAUAAGCACCGGCUAACUACGUGCCAGCCGCCGCGGUAA